GUUCCUGCUUUGUCUGCACUGGCUGCUGCCAGUGCUUUCAAGUGCUUUCAAGGGCUUUGGAUUUACAACUGCUCUGAGGUUUUCUUGAGGUUUUCAUCUGCUCUUGAUACUUCCAGAGAUCCCUAUGAGGAAGAAAAGAGCAAAGUGCGAAUUGAGGGACCAAGACAACCUUUCCCAAGCGUAAUGUCAGUGUCGACUAUCACUUUGGCAGAAUCAGUGAAGACAAAAACAGCCUCUUUGCCUGUUUUUUUCAUCUGCUGGUGGCAUUAAAAGUGACCUUGCCUUAUAAAUAUUGACUCUGAAUAAUGGAAAACCAUAAUCACCAAAGACUUAGAAUUGCAGUUCACCCAAG